rnacentral:sRNA from 1 species
GCUAGGCGGGGUGGUGUAUGCCUGUAAUCCCAGGGGCUUGGGAGGCUGAAGCAGGAGAUUCAGGAGUUGAAAUCCAGCCUCAG